rnacentral:rRNA from 1 species
UACGAAGGGGGCUAGCGUUGCUCGGAAUCACUGGGCGUAAAGCGCACGUAGGCGGGUCCUUAAGUCAGGGGUGAAAUCCCGGAGCUCAACUCCGGAACUGCCUUUGAUACUGGGGAUCUUGAGUCCGGAAGAGGUGGGUGGAACUCCGAGUGUAGAGGUGAAAUGCGCAGAUAUCAGGAAGAACACCAAUGGCGAAGGCAGCUCUCUGGGACGGUACUGACGCUGAGACGCGAAAGCGUGGGGAGCAAACAGG